AUUGAACGCUGGCGGCAUGCCUAACACAUGCAAGUCGAACGGCAGCACAGCCCGCAAGGGUGGGUGGCGAGUGGCGGACGGGUGAGGAAUACAUGGGAAUCUACCCUGUCGUGGGGGGUAACGUAGGGAAACUUACGCUAAUACCGCAUACGACCUCCGGGUGAAAGCGGCGGACCGCAAGGCGUCGCGCGACUGGAUGAGCCCAUGUCGGAUUAGCUAGUUGGCGGGGUAAAGGCCCACCAAGGCGACGAUCCGUAGCUGGUCUGAGAGGAUGAUCAGCCACACUGGAACUGAGACACGGUCCAGACUCCUACGGGAGGCAGCAGUGGGGAAUAUUGGACAAUGGGCGCAAGCCUGAUCCAGCAAUGCCGCGUGGGUGAAGAAGGCCUUCGGGUUGUAAAGCCCUUUUGUACGGGAAGAAAUCCUGUCGGUUAAUACCCGGCGGGGAUGACGGUACCGUAAGAAUAAGCACCGGCUAACUUCGUGCCAGCAGCCGCCGCCG
rnacentral:rRNA from 1 species